rnacentral:rRNA from 1 species
CAGUGGCGAACGGGUGAGUAACACGUGGGCAAUCUGCCCUGCACUCUGGGACAAGCCCUGGAAACGGGGUCUAAUACCGGAUAUUACUGUCGCAGGCAUCUGUGAUGGUGGAAAGCUCCGGCGGUGCAGGAUGAGCCCGCGGCCUAUCAGCUUGUUGGUGGGGUGAUGGCCUACCAAGGCGACGACGGGUAGCCGGCCUGAGAGGGCGACCGGCCACACUGGGACUGAGACACGGCCCAGACUCCUACGGGAGGCAGCAGUGGGGAAUAUUGCACAAUGGGCGAAAGCCUGAUGCAGCGACGCCGCGUGAGGGAUGACGGCCUUCGGGUUGUAAACCUCUUUCAGCAGGGAAGAAGCGCAAGUGACGGUACCUGCAGAAGAAGCACCGGCUAACUACGUGCCAGCAGCCGCGGUAAUACGUAGGGUGCGAGCGUUGUCCGGAAUUAUUGGGCGUAAAGAGCUCGUAGGCGGCUUGUCGCGUCGGAUGUGAAAGCCCGGGGCUUAACUCCGGGUCUGCAUUCGAUACGGGCAGGCUA